rnacentral:lncRNA from 1 species
CUCUCUCCCUCCACUACUUCAUGACGUAUCGUACCUAGAUCGGUACAGCAUGAUGAAGUCCUACCGGUGUAGCUCCAGCAUCAUCACCGCCACGCCGUCCUGCUGCCGGAGAAUUCAGCUACCUCUUCCUCUCUCUUGAUGGAUCAAGAAGGCGGAGAUCGUCAUCGAGAUGUACGUGUGCUGGACGUGGACGUGCCGUCCGCUCGGUGGUAGAUCGGGACGGAUCGUGGGAUGGCGGCGAUUUGGAUCGUGAAGAAGUUCCACUACAUCAACC